ACAAAGAUAGUUUUACUAGAACUUGGUUUGGAAAACUUUGAAUAACCAAGUUCACUUUUUGUCAUUGGAAUAUCUUUGUUGGAUAAGUGCUCUAAUGAUGAUAUGGAUGAAACUAUAUGAAUGUGUAUGAAAAUUCUGUAAAUAGUUUCACCAGAAAAUUUGAUCAAGAACACUUGAAAUAAUUUUGAAAAGAUGAAUGAAGAAGAUUGUUUGAAAAUAUUUUAUGAGAAAGGAGGUGUAUUCAAAAUCUGC
rnacentral:lncRNA from 1 species